rnacentral:rRNA from 1 species
CCUACGGGAGGCAGCAGUGAGGAAGAUUGGUCAAUGGACGAGAGUCUGAACCAGCCAAGUAGCGUGAAGGAUGACUGCCCUAUGGGUUGUAAACUUCUUUUAUAUGGGAAUAAAAUGUUCCACGUGUGGGAUUUUGUAUGUACCAUAUGAAUAAGGAUCGGCUAACUCCGUGCCAGCAGCCGCGGUAAGACGGAGGAUCCGAGCGUUAUCCGGAUUGAGUGGGUUUAAAGGGAGCGUAGGUGGAUUGUUAAGUCAGUUGUGAAAGUUUGCGGCUCAACCGUAAAAUUGCAGUUGAAACUGGCAGUCUUGUGUACAGUCGCGUUGGGCGUCUUUCGUGGUGUUGCGG